GACGAACGCUGGCGGCGUGCUUAACACAUGCAAGUCGAACGGAAAGGCCCUGCGUUUGUGGGGUGCUCGAGUGGCGAAGGGGUGAGUAACACGUGAGUAACCUGCCCUUGACUUUGGGAUAACUUCAGGAAACUGGGGCUAAUACCGGAUAGGAGCUCCUGCUGCAUGGUGGGGGUUGGAAAGUUUCGGCGGUUGGGGAUGGACUCGCGGCUUAUCCGCUUGUUGGUGGGGUAGUGGCUUACCAAGGCUUUGACGGGUAGCCGGCCUGAGAGGGUGACCGGCCACAUUGGGACUGAGAUACGGCCCAGACUCCUACGGGAGGCAGCAGUGGGGAAUAUUGCACAAUGGGCGGAAGCCUGAUGCAGCAACGCCGCGUGCGGGAUGACGGCCUUCGGGUUGUAAACCGCUUUCGCCUGUGACGAAGCGUGAGUGACGGUAAUGGGUAAAGAAGCACCGGCUAACUACGUG
rnacentral:rRNA from 1 species